UUUUUUUCCCUCUUUUGCAAUCUGAGCUGCCUUUAAAAACUCAGGGCAAAGAAGAUGCCAAGAGUGAGAAGUAGCGCGGCCGAGAAGGAAAAAAAAAAAAUCAAUUCAAAGAAACAAAGAAUAGCGAGACGCAUUAAAUGGCCUGUGGGCACCAAAAAAGCUCCCACCUUAUCGCACAGUCACGUGCAGCAACAUCAUAACGUUCGAUCCAAAGGAGAAACAGAGCAUUGGUGGAGCUUGGAGGCUCGUUUUCUUGUACAAGUGACCAUAGAAAUAACGCUUUGUGUAUAUCGCCUUGUUUCCUUGCUCGUAAUCCUCCCAAAAAGCCUGUUUGACUAGAGUGUGCCUUUGUAAACGUGCUACCUGUCUCACGUCUGCGAGCGGAGGCUGAUCCUCCAUCACAUAAACGGCAGGGAAACGAGUGAGCCAAAUCAGCCUUAUAAAGUGAAAGAUAUGAAAACUGGCAUUUAUAUACUAGUUCCUGCCUUGCUCACGAAGCUGUCUAAAUCGGCUCCAGUCCUGGUAACCUUGGAUAAACUCUAAAGAUGACUGAAGAAUGGAUGACUGCAUAAAUUACUUUGUGUAUAAAUACGAGGCACUGAAGCCCCAAAUGUUUAAAUUGUAUGGACUGGAGGAAAUCUGGGACAGGGUUUUAAGAAGAAGCCCUGUGGAUGGAAUUUUUUCAGCAGCAGAUUUAUUCACUACGAACCUAUGGUGUGUUCUCAUUCUACAAUCACAUCUGGACCUACAAGACUAUGUUACUAGUAAAUGAAAAGUCAAUAAACAGUAAUGUAA